rnacentral:lncRNA from 1 species
AAAACAUAUGUUUAUGUGCUGUUGAUUUCAGAGAAUAUAUUUCAUAAUGUAGAAGACAUCAUCUGUUUUUAUUCUCCAAGACUCGGGAUACAAUGAGAUGUAUAUAAUGCACUUUCAGACAUUAAAUUCUGGGACAUGGACCCAGGUUCACAGAACAACCACUUUCUGGAGCACUGCCAAACAGACUAGGAGCAGGAGAAGAGAAUAAGAGGAAGCAGGCACUCGAUUUUGAGAAUUCUUCACAUCCCUCAAAAAUUCUACUAGUCUCUAACAGUCUGGACUCCACGCAAAGAAAAGAAGUAUGAUUUCGUUGUUUGUAAACUGUCCUGUGAGGCACAGAAGUAAAUUAUGAGCCAUUCACUUAUUAUCAUUCUGUCCAAGAAGAAGAGAAAAAGAACAACGACAGCAAAUUAGACAGACGAUGAGAGCAGGACACGGCUGUCUUCCGGAGAGUUUCAAGCAGAUAAGAGAAUGUGCCCUGGGAUGGGCUCCUCGCAAAAUCUCCUGCUGUUCUCCUGGGAGGUUACCAUUUGUUCCGCCCACAGGGUUCCAAAAUUAAGAACUGGCCUCUUUUGUGGGGAAAAGUGCUUUUAAUGCAUUUAUAAGAAGCUGAAAUACACAGAGAUACAAGAAAAAUGCUUUUAAAUGUAUAUUUGCAUUCACUUUGGAGAUGGAAUGCUGAAUGUAACUGUUUUAGCUCAAAAAGUUUUGUGGGCUUUUAAAAAAAUUAGUUUUUUGUAGUAUAGUAGACAGUAGCAGGAUACAGCUCUGCCAUUGCCAUUUAUCUAACUCAGCAAGACUAAUUCGCACCCCUCACACCACUUUCCCUAAGAGUUCUGUAUGAAAGAUUACCCCGGUGCCUUCAUUGUUCCUUUGUUCAUAAUUGCUCAGCAUCUCUCCAUUCUGGCUUGAGUUAAAUCAGAAAUACAAUGAACUACAUGGAAUAUAUGUGUGAACAGAAUACCAGCAAUCCUUCCUUUCCUG